CGCAUGCAGGUGGUUGUUAAGUCAGAUGUGAAAGCCCGGGGCUCAACCUCGGAAUUGCAUUUGAAACUGGCAAACUAGAGUACUGUAGAGGGGGUAGAAUUUCAGGUGUAGCGGUGAAAUGCGUAGAGAUCUGAAGGAAUACCGGUGGCGAAGGCGGCCCCCUGGACAGAUACUGACACUCAGAUGCGAAAGCGUGGGGAGCAAACAGGAUUAGAUACCCUGGUAG
rnacentral:rRNA from 1 species